rnacentral:pre_miRNA from 1 species
GAACUUUUUUAUUCUCAUUGACUUCAAAAUAUCGUGAUAUUGAGAAUUCAAUGAUGUAUAACAAGGAGCCU